UACGUAGGGUGCGAGCGUUGUCCGGAAUUAUUGGGCGUAAAGGGCUCGUAGGCGGUUUGUCGCGUCGGGAGUGAAAACUCAGGGCUUAACCCUGAGCCUGCUUCCGAUACGGGCAGACUAGAGGUAUGCAGGGGAGAACGGAAUUCCUGGUGUAGCGGUGAAAUGCGCAGAUAUCAGGAGGAGCACCGGUGGCGAAGGCGGUUCUCUGGGCAUUACCUGACGCUGAGGAGCGAAAGUGUGGGGAGCGAACAGG
rnacentral:rRNA from 1 species